ACUCGUAGACUCCUACGGGAGGCAGCAGUGAGGAAUAUUGGUCAAUGGACGCAAGUCUGAACCAGCCAUGCCGCGUGAAGGAUGAAGGCCUUCUGGGUUGUAAAACUUCUUUUAUCAGAGAAGAAAAUUACGGUUUCUACUGUAACCGACGGUACCUGAGGAAUAAGCACCGGCUAACUCCGUGCCAGCAGCCGCGGUAAUACGGAGGGUGCAAGCGUUAUCCGGAUUCACUGGGUUUAAAGGGUGUGUAGGCGGGCUAUUAAGUCAGUGGUGAAAUCUCCGGGGCUCAACCCGGAAACUGCCAUUGAUACUAUUAGUCUUGAAUUUUGUUGAGGUAGGCGGAAUAUAUCAUGUAGCGGUGAAAUGCAUAGAUAUGAUAUAGAACACCGAUUGCGAAGGCAGCUUACUAAGCAAAUAUUGACGCUGAGGCACGAAAGCGUGGGGAUCAAACAGGAUUAGAUACCCUGGUAG
rnacentral:rRNA from 1 species